CACGUGGGUAAUCUGCCUUUGGGUGGGGAAUAACGAUCCGAAAGGGUCGCUAAUACCGCAUAACGCAGCGGCACCGCAUGGUGACAGUUGUUAAAGCGGGGGAUCGCAAGACCCCGCGCCUGAAGAGGAGCCCGCGCCCGAUUAGCUAGUUGGUGGGGUAACGGCUCACCAAGGCUUCGAUCGGUAGCCGGCCUGAGAGGGCGGUCGGCCACACUGGCACUGAGACACGGGCCAGACUCCUACGGGAGGCAGCAGUGGGGAAUUUUGGGCAAUGGGCGAAAGCCUGACCCAGCAACGCCG
rnacentral:rRNA from 1 species